rnacentral:rRNA from 1 species
CAACCCGGCGAAAGUCGGCUCCCGCAAGGGCAUCUGUCGAGGUGCUGCAUGGCUGUCGUCAGCUCGUGUCGUGAGAUGUUGGGUUAAGUCCCGCAACGAGCGCAACCCUUGUCCUCUGUUGCCAUCACGUUAUGGUGGGCACUCUGAGGAGACUGCCGGUGACAAACCGGAGGAAGGUGGGGAUGACGUCAAGUCAGCAUGGCCUUUAUGUCUGGGGCUACACACGUGCUACAAUGGCCGGUACAAACCGUCGCGAUCUCGUAAGAGGGAGCUAAUCGGAGAAAGCCGGUCUCAGUUCGGAUUGCAGGCUGCAACUCGCCUGCAUGAAGUUGGAAUCGCUAGUAAUCGCGGAUCAGCACGCCGCGGUGAAUACGUUCCCGGGCCUUGUACACACCGCCCGUCACAUCACGAAAGCUGGCUGUACUAGAAGUCGCUGCGCUAACCCGCAAGGGAGGCAGGCGCCUAAGGUAUGGUUAGUGAUUGGGGUGAAGUCGUAACAAGGUAAGCGUAGCGAG